CAAGCAAUGAGUCUUGAUGUGAGUCAAAUGCUUGCAUCUCUAAGGACAAGUUGUGAUGGGGAGGGAAAUAAUAGUACCGAAGUUCCCGAUGUCACACUGCCGAGAAAAGCUUCUAGUAAGAAAACAAUGGCCCGUACCGCAAACCGACACAGGUAGUCGAGGAGAGAAUCCUAAGGUGAGCGAGAGAACUCUCGUUAAGGAACUCGGCAAAAUGACCCCGUAACUUCGGGAGAAGGGGUGCUGAUCUAACGAUCAGCCGCAGUGAAUAGGCCCAAGCGACUGUUUAUCAAAAACACAGGUCUCUGCAAAAUCGAAAGAUGACGUAUAGGGGCUGACGCCUGCCCGGUGCUGGAAGGUUAAGAGGAGUGCUUAGCGUAAGCGAAGGUACGAAUUGAAGCCCCAGUAAACGGCGGCCGUAACUAUAACGGUCCUAAGGUAGCGAAAUUCCUUGUCGGGUAAGUUCCGACCCGCACGAAAGGCGUAACGAUUUGGGCACUGUCUCAACGAGAGACUCGGUGAAAUUUUAGUACCUGUGAAGAUGCAGGUUACCCGCGACAGGACGGAAAGACCCCAUGGAGCUUUACUGCAGUUUGAUAUUGAGUGUUUGUACCACAUGUACAGGAUAGGUAGGAGCCUUAGAAGUCGGGACGCUAGUUUCGACAGAGGCGCUGGUGGGAUACUACCCCUGUGUUAUGACCACUCUAACCCGCACCACUAAUCGUGGUGGGAGACAGUGUCAGAUGGGCAGUUUGACUGGGGCGGUCGCCUCCUAAAGAGUAACGGAGGCGCCCAAAGGUUCCCUCAGAAUGGUUGGAAAUCAUUCGCAGAGUGUAAAGGCACAAGGGAGCUUGACUGCGAGACCUACAAGUCGAGCAGGGACGAAAGUCGGGCUUAGUGAUCCGGUGGUUCCGCAUGGAAGGGCCAUCGCUCAACGGAUAAAAGCUACCCUGGGGAUAACAGGCUUAUCUCCCCCAAGAGUCCACAUCGACGGGGAGGUUUGGCACCUCGAUGUCGGCUCGUCGCAUCCUGGGGCUGUAGUCGGUCCCAAGGGUUGGGCUGUUCGCCCAUUAAAGCGGCACGCGAGCUGGGUUCAGAACGUCGUGAGACAGUUCGGUCCCUAUCCGUCGCGGGCGUUGGAAAUUUGAGAGGAUCUGUCCUUAGUACGAGAGGACCGGGAUGGACUUACCGCUGGUGUACCAGUUGUCUCGCCAGAGGCAUCGCUGGGUAGCUAUGUAGGGAAGGGAUAAACGCUGAAAGCAUCUAAGUGUGAAGCCCACCUCAAGAUGAGAUUUCCCAUUUCUUUAAGAAAGUAAGAUCCCUGAGAGAUGAUCAGGUAGAUAGGUCAGGAGUGGAAGUGCAGUGAUGUACGGAGCGGACUGAUACUAAUCGAUCGAGGACUUAACCAA
rnacentral:rRNA from 2 species